UCGAUAUCUAUGAGAUUCUAAGUGACCCUGUACAGCGUAUGGUUUACGAUGAAAUUCAUGGUUAUGCUGUGACUGCCACCAAUCCUUUUCUUGAUGACUCUAGCCCAAGAGAUCAUGUUUUUGUUGAUGAGUUUGCUUGUAUAGGCUGCAAAAAUUGUGCCAAUGUGGCUCCAGAUAUAUUUGAAACUGAGGAAGAUUUUGGAAGAGCAAAGGGCCUGUAAC